GGUACUUUGGCCGAGCGGUCUAAGGCGCUGUGUUCAGGUAGCUGGGUUCUCCCACAUUGCCGUUUCGCAGUCUAGUAAUAGGCGAGGGUUCGAAUCCCUCAGGUAUCA